rnacentral:snRNA from 1 species
GAGUGCUACAGCUGUAGAAUUUGUCUAUCUGGUUUUCUGGUUGCUACCAGAUAGCCCUC